rnacentral:rRNA from 1 species
AUUGAACGCUGGCGGCAGGCCUAACACAUGCCAGUCGAGCGGAUGAAGGGAGCUUGCUCCUGGAUUCAGCGGCGGACGGGUGAGUAAUGCCUAGGAAUCUGCCUGGUAGUGGGGGAUAACGUCCGGAAACGGGCGCUAAUACCGCAUACGUCCUGAGGGAGAAAGUGGGGGAUCUUCGGACCUCACGCUAUCAGAUGAGCCUAGGUCGGAUUAGCUAGUUGGUGGGGUAAAGGCCUACCAAGGCGACGAUCCGUAACUGGUCUGAGAGGAUGAUCAGUCACACUGGAACUGAGACACGGUCCAGACUCCUACGGGAGGCAGCAGUGGGGAAUAUUGGACAAUGGGCGAAAGCCUGAUCCAACCAUGCCGCGUGUGUGAAGAAGGUCUUCGGAUUGUAAAGCACUUUAAGUUGGGAGGAAGGGCAGUAAGUUAAUACCUUGCUGUUUUGACGUUACCAACAGAAUAAGCACCGGCUAACUUCGUG